AAGCUGCUUCUCCGCAGACCAAGACUCACAGUCGAGAAGGCCCACCUGCAGCUCACUGGGCCCCCUGGGAAACUCCCCACCACUUCCUGGUGAGACUUGCCAGGUAACAGCUAAAGCAUGACUGGACUCCUGCCCCAGGGCAACACCCCCAAAUUGAGAUGCUAUGGAAUCUAUGUUCCAGGCUGUGGAGGAGCUGAAAGAACCAUGGUCUCAUUGAGUCCAGCCUGGCCUCAAACCAACAUGUAGCCAAAAACUGACUCCAAACUCCUGAGCCUCCUGGGCUUCCAGGUGUGUCCCAUCAUGCCUGGUUUUAUGCGGUGCUGGAGAUCAAGCCUAGAGCUGCUUCUUACAUUCGAGAGCCCCUUCAGCACAGCUACUGUGUAUCCUCUACAGAGGGAGCCUGUGGCAUCCCACACAAGUUAGAGGGAUCUCCUCUCAUCCCUGAGCUAACAGCAUGUGAAGGGCACAGAGUGGGGACUCCUUCACUGCUGUCAGCACACUCCAUAGAAUUGUCACCAAAGUGGAUGGGAAAAGGCCAAUAGGCCACCGGGGAGCGAUGGAAUGUCCUCUUAUGAAGAACAUACGAGGCCACUGAGCUGAUGUUCAAAUCGUGGAUCAAAACCAAACAUGAAUGGUUGUCGCCUGGUGCCAGCGCACUGCAAAGACCCAAGAUUGGACUCCAUCUUCCUUCUAAAAUGCCUUUUAGGGCCAGGGAUGGUUUUGUGGGUAAAGAUGUCUACCACCAAGCCUGACAACCAGAGAACUGAGCCCAGCAAGUUGUCCUUGGACCACCAGUUGAGCCACAGUACACACACACACACACACACACACACACACACACACACACGAAAUAAUAGUUUAAAAAAGCUCUUUUAAUAAAUUUUGGUUGUACCCCCACCCCCACAUAUGUGCUCUAACUCGCUCCUGAAGCCUUCCCUUAAUCCAUGCAAGGCAAUUCAAACUCACAGACUAAAACUCCAGCGCAGCCAUUGUUUCUUCACACUGACACCACAAAUCUUAAGAGCACAGAAAAAGACCUGAGCACGUAUGCACACGUCUCAUCUAGCUGACAAAUGAGACUCUAUUAAAAGCAGCCAGCAAGAGACAGAGUUGGGAAGCAGCUAGAGGCUCGGCCAGGCAAGGCGUCAGAACGAGUUCCACCUCCAGAAUGAGUCCACAUGUAGGAGAGCGCGAACUCUCUCGAGCUGUCCUCUGACCUCCACAAAUGUGC